rnacentral:lncRNA from 1 species
UCGCAGAAUAUUGGAAAUUGACAUAUAUGAGAACUGAACAUUUUAGAGGGCAUGGUCUUGGUGUCUAAAAGCAAUGACCUCCUGAAGUACAGAGAGUCAAGAUGAAAAUGGACCUGUUUAUGAUGAUUUCCCUCUUCUUUUUGGCAGAUACAAAGGAUGGAGAGCCUUGCUGAUUUUGGUCCACAGCCUGGGGCGAAAUUUCAGUACUACUUAAAAAGAU